CACGUAGGGCGCGAGCGUUGUCCGGAAUUACUGGGUGUAAAGCGUGCGCAGGCGGUUUUGUAAGUCAGAUGUGAAAUCCCCGGGCUCAACCUGGGAACUGCGUUUGAAACUACAAGGCUAGAGUGUAGCAGAGGGGGGGUAGAAUUCCACGUGUAGCAGUGAAAUGCGUAGAGAUGUGGAGGAAUACCAAUGGCGAAGGCAGCCCCCUGGGUUAACACUGACGCUCAUGCCACGAAAGCGUGGGGGAGCAAACAGG
rnacentral:rRNA from 1 species